rnacentral:rRNA from 1 species
UACGAAGGGGGCUAGCGUUGUUCGGAAUUACUGGGCGUAAAGCGCACGUAGGCGGACAUUUAAGUUGGAGGUGAAAGCCUUGGGCUCAACCCAAGAAUUGCCUUUGAUACUGGAUGUCUCGAGACCGGGAGAGGUGAGUGGAAUUCCGAGUGUAGAGGUGAAAUUCGUAGAUAUCGCAAGAACACCAGUGGCGAAGGCGGCUCACUGGCCCGGUACUGACGCUGAGGUGCGAAAGCGUGGGGAGCAAACAGG